AGUCGUAACAAGGUUUCCGUAGGUGAACCUGCGGAAGGAUCAUUAGAAGUGCUUCUCGAAGGAGGGACGCCCACGCAUAGCAUCUCUCCAUCUCCCUCUCCCGGCGACCCGCUGUUACGGUCAAAAUGUUGACUCCUCAACUGGGCCCUGCCCCAACCCCCGUCCCGACCGAGCUAGUCACGCUGCAAUAGCCUGUGGAACUGGCAGAGAGGAGGAGGAGAGAGGGACCCUAUGCCGGGGGGCGUCCGCCUUUGACAUUGGAGAACAAAGCCCCGUGUACCUUUCCCAACCUUGCUUCCCGCGCUUCCGGGCGCGGGGAGGGAACCUUCCAACCCUUCCGAAACAGAAGUCUGACACGAGGAAAGACAGAAAAGUUAAAACUUUCAACAACGGAUCUCUUGGUUCUC
rnacentral:misc_RNA from 1 species